UACAGAGGGUGCAAGCGUUAAUCGGAUUUACUGGGCGUAAAGCGUGCGUAGGCGGUUCAGUAUGUCGGUCGUGAAAUCCCCGGGCUCAACCUGGGAACUGCGGCCGAAACUGCUGGGCUAGAGUGUGGGAGAGGGCGGUGGAAUUCCGGGUGUAGCGGUGAAAUGCGUAGAUAUCAGGAGGAACAUCAAUGGCGAAGGCAGCCGCCUGGGCCACAACUGACGCUGAGGCACGAAAGCGUGGGGAGCAAACAGG
rnacentral:rRNA from 1 species